ACACACAAAACACUCAUUUACCCAAAGAAAAGCUGCUGAAUUUGUAUAAAAAGAAACACCACCACCAUGGAGGCUUCUUUGAAACUAGUUGCUUUCUUCACUCUUUUGCUCUCAUCUGUCAUGCAAGGCCGAUUUUGAAGCAUUCACUCUUUGUGAGCUUGCCAGUGUUGGACAAAGAUUGAAGAUAAAAUCACGAUGGAAGAAAGAACAACGGUAUGUUGUUCUCGGUGUGCCAACGAUGAUCGAAGCGCAAAAGCAACUGAAAUGCGAAACCGAUGCGGAUUGUGUGAGGCAGUGUGUUACUAACUUUAAUGUUUGUACUCCUGCUGGCUAUUAUGCUUGUUCCGGCAGCAAUCCUAAUUGCUGUUGAGGACCUAUAAAGUUUACUCUAUUACAUCCACAUCCUAUUUUAUUAUUAACUUUGGAAUUUGCUGACUAAAGAUGUAGUGUUCUUGUACGUUUUUAAUGAAAUAAGCAUCUAUUAUUAUA